CUCCCUGUUUCGUGAUAACAGCACGCUUCUGAACAACACCCUUAUAAAACUAUAGAUUUUCUCAAUGGUGGAAUCAGGCUCCUUCUCGUAGGCAUUUCUUCGAACAACCCCCAUGCUCCUCACUCUUCCUUUCGUGUAGAUACCCUGAAGUAAUCAAAUUUCCAGAAGCCACAUCUCUAAUCUCCGUAUCAACUUUCAAAGCUGUAUUACAGUACCCAGAUUUAAUGGGUGCAUAAACAGCCGAUAAGCCACUUGGACAAUCCUCUCUAAACCCCAUGUUGUGAUAGCAAUUCCAGAAUUUUGGAGCGUUUAAUGCCUGUGCUAAAACUUAUGACUGCCUUCCCAACCUUGGAGUCACCC
rnacentral:lncRNA from 1 species